rnacentral:rRNA from 1 species
AUGCUUGUAGAUCAUGAAAAGAAUGCUUUAGGUGCUGGUUAUAUUGUUGAAUUCAUUCAUGAUGCUACUGAAAAUUAUUAUGAGGGAGGAAUAUAUGCUUGUAGGAAUUGCAAUAAUAUCAAAUUUCCUCUCUAUGUGCUUAAAAUCUUGAAGUUAUGCUUGUAUUGCCCUCCUAUGCUAGCUGAUUAUUGUUCCCACAAGUUGUUUGCUCACAAAAUACAUAUGCAUAGGAAGUGGGUUAGACUUAAAUGUGCUAGUAAUAUUCUUCAUGAUUCUCUCUUUAUGUUUCAAUUCUUAUCCUUUAUGUGA